UACGAAGGGGGCUAGCGUUGCUCGGAAUGACUGGGCGUAAAGGGCGCGUAGGCGGUUUGGACAGUCAGAUGUGAAAUUCCUGGGCUUAACCUGGGGGCUGCAUUUGAUACGUUCAGGCUUGAGUGUGGAAGAGGGUCGUGGAAUUCCCAGUGUAGAGGUGAAAUUCGUAGAUAUUGGGAAGAACACCGGUGGCGAAGGCGGCGACCUGGUCCUUGACUGACGCUGAGGCGCGAGAGCGUGGGGAGCAAACAGG
rnacentral:rRNA from 1 species